GAUGAACGCUGGCGGCGUGCCUAAUACAUGCAAGUCGAGCGAACGGACGAUACGCUUGCUUCUCUGAUGUUUGCGGCGGACGUGUGUGUAACACGUGUAUAACCUCCCUAUCUUACUGGUAUAUCUUCGGGAAACCGGAUCUAAUCCCGUAUAAUAUUUUGAACCGCAUGGUUCAUUAGUGAAUUACGGUCUUUCUGUCUCUUAUCGCUGGUUCCGCGCUGCAUUAGCUAGUUGGUAAGGUAACGGCUUACCAAGGCAACGAUGCAUAGCCGACCUGAGAGGGUGAUCGGCGACACGGGAAGUGAGACAGGGUCAAGAGGCCUACGGGAGGCAGCAGUAGGGAAUGGGCCGCAAUGGGCGAAAGCCUGACGGAGCAAGGGGGCGUGAGAGAUGAAGGUCUUGGGAGCGGAAAACUCUGUUAUUAGGGAAGAACAGAUGUGGAAGGAAAAGAGGAGAGAGUGACGGUAACGAAUAAGAAAGCAACGGCUAACUACGUG
rnacentral:rRNA from 1 species